UGGAGGUCGUUCAGCAAAUGGGCCUUAAACCCAAAAAUUUCUCCUACAAACAAAGACCGACUCAAACCCUUGCAAUGUGUGUGUGUGUGUCUGAGUGUUGGUGGUGGGGGGGGUUGUAUGAGUCAAACUGGAAUGCUGAUUGGAGGAAAGAAGGUUGGACCAAAAAUGCUUGUGAGCCCAAAACUUGUCAUUGACUGGGCCCAAUACGCGCCUCUAAAAAAUUGACCUUGAAUGGUACUAAUGUGCGCCCUCAUUAUCCACCGUCUCAGAUCAAAUUGUUGUCGUAGACCGCCAUGGGCCACCGCACCCGAAAUCGCUUCCUGCGGUGGUGGCCACCAGAAACAUAAACUAGAUACUUCAUUAAGAUCGUUUCCAACUCCUCUAUCCGAAUUCAUAUUCAAUUUCAAACAUAUCUGGACCUAACCUCCACAUCAAACCAAGGAAUGUCAAGAACCCUAGAGGUUCUAGUACUAAUUACAUGAUGAGGCUUAGGAUUCAAAGCCCUAACUGUUAGGGCUUUGAGUUGCCCUAAGCCAAGCUAAAAAAUGAUAACACAGUUACAAUGGAAGGGUGAGGAUGGACCUACCUCCGAAGCUGAGGAUCGCUCCAAUGAAAUGUUGAAUCGGAGAAGACAAAGUAAGCUACGAAAAAUCACUUGAUUAACAGGUACAAUCCUGGCUCUUGCUUACUGUAUGCUUCUUAUUCUGCUUUCACUUCUUCUUCCAAACCUUUUAUGAUGUGAUUGGACUGUGAUCGAUGAGAGGCUAAGCUCACUCUUCUUGAAGCUUCAAUGUGAAGCUUCAAUGGAUUUCUUAGUAGAGCUUUGAGUGAGAGAGGGAGAUAACUGGGAUUGAGAAAAAAUAGAGUGAGCAAAAAUUCUGAGAUUCGUGAUUGUGAUGUGUGAUGUGUGAUCCUCCAAUGAUUAGUGAUGGUGAACUCUUAAAGGGAAAUUGCUUGUUAUUGAAUGGGGCAGAUUAGGUCAAUUUGUUAAGAAUUAGGGCAGGUUUAUUAUCAUUGGUUAGUGUGUUAGUGAACUCUGUUGAAUUCUGUUAUGAUGUUAGUUGAGUUAGUUUAGGUUAGUGAUUAAAGUCUAAACUAUUUAUGUGAAUUUGUUAAGUUUAAUCAAGAGAAAAGUGAGUUAAUCUUUUCUGGAACUACUAACCGUUGAAUUGAUGUUAGUGUAAUUGAAGGUUAGUAAAAGCACUAGGGUAAUUGAAGCUCUAUUGGAAACUUGGUUGUAUUGUUAAUAGAGUUGACCUUGGUAGUGACCUGAACAACACUUGCAUUUUUAGAGUGUUAAAAAAAUUGAAACUUGUUGUUAGGUGAUUCUUGUUGCUUUUGUUAGUGGCAAUUGCUAAUAGGAUGCUCCAACUGUUAUGGUCAUUUGAAUUGUCACUAAGCCAAUAUUGUAAUACAAGUAGUUUUAUCAACUAGAAUGAAUUGAAAGGUGGCUUAGAAAGCAUCAAAGCUAUUAGAAUGAAAUGUCAGUUAUAGCGAUUAAUGGCUUGUCACUUAGUUUAGAUCAACUAGGUUGGUUAAUUGAAAAAUAAAGAGUUCUUAUAACUAUGUUAGAACCAGGGACUGCCAUGGGUAGUUUCCACUCUGCAAUGCCAGUGGGAAUGUAUGGACCUUUCAAUGUUGUUAUUUAUGAUUUGCUCUAGUUUGUGCAGGGAUAUGGUUAGUCAUGAGCCGUCAAAAGGUUGCAUUCCAGGCUAGUGUUAUAAACUGGUGCAGGUCAAGACUCAAUCUUUGCAGGUCCAUGGUUUUACAGGGCUUAUGAGGUUAUGGCUUUGAUUGUAGGCCAGCUACAGUAGGCUUAUUAUGUAGUGUCCAUGGUGCAGUGGAAUUGUCUUUGAUUCAUUGAUGGAGCAUGUUGCAGGAAUUGAUUUGCUCACUUGUUAUGCUUCUACAUGAUGAUGCUUGUGUAUGGACUUGUUGUUGUAAUGAGCAUGUGCUGAUAAUACAGAAUGGCAGCAUUCUGUCUUGGUUGGCUUUAGGUUCAUCGUGUAUUUUGUAUUGGUGUCAUGGUGUAGCACAUGUGGUGGAUAACCCUAUCCAUUUUGAGCUCUUAUGCAUUGGAAUAUUUUGAUGUUAACUUGGAUUGAACUUAGGAUUUUUCAUUGUGAUUGGUCUUUUAAAAUGAUUGCAAAUUGUAUGAAUAUUAGAUAAUGUAGAUGGAUUCAUCAUAAGAUGGAAAGCAUAUUGAUCUGUAAAUGGAAGUUUUAUAGAAUCUUGAUUGUGAAUGUUGGAUUUGAA